rnacentral:rRNA from 1 species
GAUGAACGCUGGCGGCGUGCUUAACACAUGCAUGUCGAACGGUGAAGGCGGAGCUUGCUCUGCUGGAUCAGUGGCGAACGGGUGAGUAACACGUGAGCAAUCUGCCCCUGACUCUGGGAUAAGCGCUGGAAACGGCGUCUAAUACUGGAUACGAGCUGCGAAGGCAUCUUCAGCAGCUGGAAAGAACUUCGGUCAGGGAUGAGCUCGCGGCCUAUCAGCUUGUUGGUGAGGUAACGGCUCACCAAGGCGUCGACGGGUAGCCGGCCUGAGAGGGUGACCGGCCACACUGGGACUGAGACACGGCCCAGACUCCUACGGGAGGCAGCAGUGGGGAAUAUUGCACAAUGGGCGAAAGCCUGAUGCAGCAACGCCGCGUGAGGGACGACGGCCUUCGGGUUGUAAACCUCUUUUAGCAGGGAAGAAGCGAAAGUGACGGUACCUGCAGAAAAAGCGCCGGCUAACUACGUG